ensembl:lncRNA
GUCAAUGAGUAUGCAAAAAAAGCUGUGACAAUUCCUCAAAAUUCUCCUUUUGUGUUCCACAGAGAGAGGAACAGGGUUAGCCACAACAUGAAGGUACGAGUGCAUGCUGUCACAGAAAUAUUCUGUGUAUAUUUACCACACACGACUGGUUCUAAGGGUGACUCUUUGAUGUGACUUCUGCAACAGUGCAGCUCAUUGACAUUCUGGGAGUGGUUGCUGUGCUUGUGGCUGGACAUCAGUGUUUCAUCGCAUCAUCAUAACAUCACUCGUUUACUAACUCUAUGUCAUCUGAGAGACCUGUGCUAAAGUCUACCAGCUGAUAUAUACAGAUUUACAUAUAGAUCAAAAGAUAUUUUUAUUCUCCCAUUUAUACCAGUAGUGAUGAGGAAAUCUAUACCUUGCAGGUGAAGGGUAAGGAAAGGUAUGAGAUGUUGAAAAUGAUCAACGAAAGUUUGGAAAUUAACGACAUGGUAUAUAAGGACAAAUAUCUUCAACUACUAUCUCCCAAGGGCAAGAAGAGAAAGAACGAUGAUAGAGUUUAGAGUUGGGAAAGAUGGAAGGCUGUGGUAAGUCCUCAACCCAGCAAAAGUCCAGGGGACGCCAGGGGUCGAAUUUCCUUAGGAGUUCUCGUCUGGCCAUCUUGGUGAAGAUCUUUGUUAAUUUUAAGGUAGCUGGGGUUAGAGAGGUAUCUACAGUACUAUCUAUCUGAAAUUUUGCUAUUGAUUUUCUAUAUUUUCAUGUAUGCAUCAUGUAUUUUUCUUUUGAAUUACUCUGUAUUUUUGGUUUUGAUUUAAGGAAAAGGUUGUGGCGAGUCUUUUGAUAAGACUCGAGUGGGGGAUUGGUGUGUGGAGAUUCUAAGAAAUCCACAUGGUGAUAGAGAUUCUGAGAAGAAGUUCACGUAUUUAAAUUAAACCCAAGUGUUGUUAAGAGAUUCUGAGAAGUCACAUACUCAAAAUUUGUUCUAUUCAUAAUGAUAAGUUUCAUUUCAAAAGUUAAAAAUUAAUAUUUCAUGGUAAGGAUCUGUCUCAUAUAUAUAUAUAUUAACAGGUUUCAUUUUUAUAUUCAAAAAUGUUUUUGGUAAACUUUAUGGUAUAUUUCAUAUGUAAUUUCACAGUAUUUCUAACUGCGUAGUCAGCUG